GAUGAAGAACGUAGCGAAAUGCGAUAAGUAAUGUGAAUUGCAGAAUUCCGUGAAUCAUCGAAUCUUUGAACGCACAUUGCGCCUCCUGGCAUUCCGGGGGGCAUGCCUGUCCGAGCGUCAUUUCUGCCCUCCAGCCCGGCUGGGUGUUGGGCGCUGUCCCCCCGGGGACACGCCCCAAAGGCAGUGGCGGCGCCGCGUCGGGUCCUCGAGCGUAUGGGGCUUUGUCACCCGCUCGGGACGGACUCGUCGGCGCUGGUCUUCCUCCAGGCGACCCUUCGGGGCUCGUCUUCCUUCGGUUGACCUCGGAUCAGGUAGGGUUACCCGCUGAACUUAAGCAUAUCAAUAAGCGGAGGA
rnacentral:misc_RNA from 1 species